AUACGUAGGUGGCAAGCGUUGUCCGGAAUCAUUGGGCGUAAAGAGCGCGUAGGUGGCUAGUCAGGUCUGAUGUGAAAUCCUGGGGCUCAACUCCAGGCCUGCAUCGGAAACCGGCUUGCUAGAGUCUGGGAGAGGAGAGUGGAAUUCCUGGUGUAGCGGUGAAAUGCGUAGAUAUCAGGAGGAACACCGGUAGCGAAGGCGGCUCUCUGGAACAGUACUGACACUGAGGCGCGAAAGCUAGGGGAGCGAACAGGAUUAGAUACCCUGGUAGUCCUAGCCGUAAACGAUGGACACUAGGUGUCGGGGGUGUCGACUCCCUCGGUGCCGAAGCUAACGCAUUAAGUGUCCCGCCUGGGGAGUACGGCCGCAAGGCUAAA
rnacentral:rRNA from 1 species